GACGAACGCUGGCGGCGUGCUUAACACAUGCAAGUCGAACGGAAAGGCCCUGCUUUUGUGGGGUGCUCGAGUGGCGAACGGGUGAGUAACACGUGAGUAACCUGCCCCUGACUUUGGGAUAACUUCAGGAAACUGGGGCUAAUACCGGAUAGGAGCUCCUGCUGCAUGGUGGGGGUUGGAAAGUUUCGGCGGUUGGGGAUGGACUUGCGGCUUAUCAGCUUGUUGGUGGGGUAGUGGCUUACCAAGGCUUUGACGGGUAGCCGGCCUGAGAGGGUGACCUGCCACAUUGGGACUGGGAUACGGCCCAGACUCCUACGGGAGGCAGCAGUGGGGAAUAUUGCAUAAUGGGCGGAAGCCUGAUGCAGCAACGCCGCGUGCGGGAUGACGGCCUUCGGGUUGUAAACCGCUUUCGCCUGUGACGAAGCGUGAGUGACGGUAAUGGGUAAAGAAGCACCGGCUAACUACGUG
rnacentral:rRNA from 1 species